rnacentral:rRNA from 1 species
UACGGAGGGGGCUAGCGUUGUUCGGAAUUACUGGGCGUAAAGCGCGCGUAGGCGGACCUGCAAGUCGGGGGUGAAAGCCCGAGGCUCAACCUCGGAACUGCCUUCGAUACUGCGGGUCUCGAGUCCGGGAGAGGUGAGUGGAAUUCCGGGUGUAGUGGUGAAAUGCGUAGAUAUCCGGAGGAACACCAGUGGCGAAGGCGACUUUCUGGCCUGUUCUUGACGCUGAGGCGCGAAAGCUAGGGGAGCAAACGGG